ACUCAAAGGAAUUGACGGGGGCCCGCACAAGCAGUGGAGUAUGUGGUUUAAUUCGAAGCAACGCGAAGAACCUUACCAGGUCUUGACAUCGCGUGAAGACAGCAGAGAUGCUGUCGCCCUUCGGGGCACAAAGACAGGUGGUGCAUGGUUGUCGUCAGCUCGUGUCGUGAGAUGUUGGGUUAAGUCCCGCAACGAGCGCAACCCUUACCAUUAGUUGCUACGCAAGAGCACUUUAAUGGGACUGCCGUUGACAAAACGGAGGAAGGUGGGGAUGAGGUCAAAUCAUCAUGCCCCUUAUGACCUGGGCUACACACGUACUACAAUGGCCGUCAACAACGUGAGGCGAACCCGCGAGGGGGAGCAAAUCGAGAAAAACGGUCUCAGUUCGGAUUGCAGGCUGCAACUCGCCUGCAUGAAGUCGGAAUUGCUAGUAAUCGCAGAUCAGCAUGCUGCGGUGAAUACGUUCCCGGGCCUUGCACACACCGCCCGU
rnacentral:rRNA from 1 species